CUUGAGAGCAGCUCGGAGACUGCGACGUUAGUAGCCAAUCAGUACAGUAGCGAGUUCAGCAGAGAAUUCGAGUUGAGCCAGCUGGCUGCAGCAGCACGUCAAUUUUCAGCGACUUUCAACUAUAGUACAUAAAAACCAGACAACGUGUGAUUGGAAAAAUGCGUGUAAAAGCAACGCAAACGGGACCCGUGAUAGCUAUUCUUACGGCCCUUGACAUGGAAUGACUCGUGGAAAAGGGAAAAUUCGACAAAUGCUUUUGUCUUCCGUGCCGCAGCGACGAGACGAGAAGACUCCUGGAGAAAGCACCAAGUCGAGUCAGUAACGGGAUGAUUAAUCAUUGUGGAACAAUACCGUUGAAAUAGGAUCCGACGACUCUACAGAUGUAAUCUUCAACGCAGGGGUAACAGUGUCCUGUGGCGGCGCAUAUGUUCUCUGUAUCGUUGUAGCUAUUCAAUUUCUUUAUGUACAUUCGAUAAAAAAGCGUAUAGGCAUAAGCGA